CUAGGAAUCUUGGGAAUGGGCGAAAGCCUGACCCAGCAACGCCGCGUGGGCGAUGAAGGCCUUCGGGUCGUAAAGCCCUUUUGCGGGGGACGAUAAUGACGGUACCCCGCGAAUAAGCCACGGCUAACUACGUGCCAGCAGCCGCGGUAAGACGUAGGGGGCGAGCGUUGUCCGGAUUUAUUGGGCGUAAAGAGCUCGUAGGCGGUUGCGUAAGUCGGAUGUGAAAACUCAGGGCUCAACCCUGAGACGCCAUCCGAUACUGCGCUGACUUGAAUCCAGUAGGGGAGUGUGGAAUUCCUGGUGUAGCGGUGAAAUGCGCAGAUAUCAGGAGGAACACCCAUGGCGAAGGCAGCACUCUGGGCUGGUAUUGACGCUGAGGAGCGAAAGCAUGGGUAGCGAACAGGAUUAGAUACCCCGGUAGUCCCUGAGCGGGCUGGCAAGGCGCAU
rnacentral:rRNA from 1 species